rnacentral:rRNA from 1 species
AUGUAUGUAUAUAUAGCCUACCAUCCGAGAAAGAAGAAGAUGUGUAGUGAUAGUUACCCAAUGACCUUCCAAAUAACUGCAGAACAAAGACAGGUUGGGGAAACUGAACUAAACGCAAGUUUACGUUCCCACCAAAUCAUUUGGCUGAUUGUGGAGAGUAUGCUCCAUAAAGCGCCGCACUGUGUUAUAUCUUUUGCUGCUAACUUGAAUUUUGUCGACCUUGUUGGAAGCGAGCAUGCUGCACAAACACAUGCUGUUGGUGCUAGGUUGAAAGAAGGCGCCAUAUUAAUCGCAGCUUGUUGA